CCGUGGGCAACGCCAGCGGCCCCGUCCUCGUCUCCUGGCCGGGGGGGCCCAGACCCCAGCAGGUGCUGGGGCUGGGGGGCAGCACAGAGCUGCUCAUCAGCCCCGCGGGCAUCGCCGGGGGCACCGGGGGGCUCUGCGAGGUGCGCUUCAAUGCCUCCGGUCCCCCCGUCCGCAGGAGCGUGGAGCUGCACGGGGCCAAGGGUGCCUGCACGACACCAAGUGCCGUAGCCAGGGCACUGCUGCUGCUCGGCCUCAUCCUCGGCAUCUGCUGCCUCUUUCAUGCAUGGAGGGGACUCCAGCCCAGAGCUCCAGACCCUCCUGCAAGCCCAGCACCAGCAGGGAGAGCUGACGUACGCCCAGCUCCGCUUCGCCACCCCAGCGAGGGCAGCGCCGUGACCCACGGGGCUGGGCCCCAAGGCCUCGGUGGCGGCGCCGUGCAGCCCUGGGAGGCUGCGGCUGCCCCGGCCGCCGGGACAGCGGGGAGGAAGGAACGGGACCGAACCUCCAAGGAGGGGGCUCGAAGGAGCAGUGAAUGACGGGAGAGGACCUCAAAUGUGGCGUUAAUAAAGAGAUUGAAACUAAAAUGAGGAGUAAAUCG
rnacentral:lncRNA from 1 species